GAAAUCCGGAUUAAUACCCCAUAAUGCAGGGGUACCUCAUGGUACUAUUUGCUAAAGAUUUAUCGGUUGUGGAUGGGCAUGCGUCUGAUUAGUUUGUUGGUGAGGUAACGGCUCACCAAGACCACGAUCAGUAGGGGGUCUGAGAGGAUGAUCCCCCACACUGGCACUGAGAUACGGGCCAGACUCCUACGGGAGGCAGCAGUAGGGAAUAUUGGGCAAUGGGCGAAAGCCUGACCCAGCCAUGCCGCGUGAAGGAUGAAGGCCUUCUGGGUUGUAAACUUCUUUUAUACAGGAAGAAAAAGGUCAUGCGUGACCAAUUGACGGUACUGUAUGAAUAAGCACCGGCUAACUCCGUGCCAGCAGCCGCGGUAAUACGGAGGGUGCAAGCGUUGUCCGGAUUUAUUGGGGUUUAAGGGGUGCGUAGGCGGUGCGUUAAGUCAGUGGUGAAAUCUCUCGGNCUCAACCGAGAAACUGCCAUU
rnacentral:rRNA from 1 species